GACAAACAGGUCGAAUUAAGAUGUAAACAGUAUAAAAGGAGGUUAGGGUAAUGUGAAAAGGAAGAGUUUAGUGUUUUUAUAGAGGUGGAAUUUGUAUAAAAAGAUAGGGUUUUUUUUCUUCUUUGUUCUGAUGCCUCGAAGGUUUAGGAGAAGACCGGGAUUAGAUACCCCGUUAUUUAUUCAGUAAACUUUAAUGAUGUUUUAAUUUACUAGGGUAUUACGAGCUGCUUAGUUAUAUUAUUUUCUGAGUGUUGCGCUUAAAACCCAAAAAACUUGGCGGUGCCUUAUUUCUUUCCAGGGGAACCUGUCCUGUAAUCGAUGGUCCACGAUUUAGCUUACCUCUUUUUGUAUUUUAGGGCUAUUAUUAGCUGAUAUUAGCAGCCUGUAUACCGUCGUCGUCAGAUUACCUUUAAGAGUAGUAGAAGUUGUCAAGAGGGAGUGAAUUAGUACUUAUUAUAUUUUAUGAAUUAGUUUUCAUUCAAUUGUAAAUAAUAGGGGGAAUGUUAUCUUUGAUGUCAGAUCAAGGUGCAGCUUAUGAAGAGGAAGAGAUGGGUUACAAUAAUUAUUGGUUAGACGGAUUUUAUGUUGUAAUACAUAAUUGAAGGUGGACUUGGGAGUAAUAUUAAUUAAUAAUUAAAUUAAGUAAAUAGUA
rnacentral:rRNA from 1 species